rnacentral:rRNA from 1 species
GACGAACGCUGGCGGCGUGCUUAACACAUGCAAGUCGAACGGAAAGGCCCUGCUUUCGUGUGGUGCUCGAGUGGCGAACGGGUGAGUAACCCGUGAGUAACCUGCCUUUGACUUUGGGAUAACUUCAGGAAACUGGUGCUAAUACCUGAUAGGAGCUCCUGCUGCAUGGUGGGGGUUGGAUAGUUUCGGCGGUUGGGGAUGGACUCGCGGCUUGUCAGCUUGUUGGUGGGGUAGUUGCUUACCAAGGCUUUGACGGAUAGCCGGCCUGGGAGGUUGGACGGCGACAUUGGGACUGCGAUACGGCCCAGACUGGGAUGGGGGGCAGUAGUCGGAAGUAUGGAACAAUGAGGGGGAGUGUGAGACAGAAACGCCGCGUGCGGAAAGACGGCUUUCGGGUGGGAAACGGCAUUAGGCUGUGAAGAAGCGUGAGUGACGGUAAUAGGUAAAGAAGCACCGGCUAACUACGUG